rnacentral:miRNA from 1 species
UAUGAAACAAAUGAUGAAUGUUUUUAUUCGUGGAAUGGUAAGAAUAUUUUCAUUCGGUGAAAGAUGGAAUGUUCCAUUCAACGUACUCGGCUGUCGCCUCGUUGAAUGGAACAUUCCAUCUUUCACCUCAUGAAAAUAUCCUUACCAUUGCACUCAUAAACAUUCAUUAUUUGUAUAAUA